AACAAUCGCACGGAGACUGUCUUACCUUGGCGUCGGCUUUCGAUUGCUCGAUGGGUACAGGGGAUGAGGAAGCUGCAGGAAGGGGAAAAGAAAAGCAAAGCCUGGAUUUCCUGGCCUUGGGAAAAAUGGCAGUCAGGAGGAAGAAGUGGGUUUACAGGAUCAUGACACAGACCAGAGACUGAC